UCCCUGUUGGCUCAGAGGUUAAAGUGUCUGCCUGCAAUGUGGCAGACCCAGGUUUGAUCCCUGGGUGGGGAA
rnacentral:tRNA from 1 species